CUCAUGAAAAACCACCAUUCAUUUUCUCCAAAAUAGUGCUAGAAGCCAACCAAGGUGGACAAAGGGUAGAACACCUGGUCUCGAUUUAGUUUUAGCUUUCCAGGUCAAGAAUUUUGCCAAUGAAAUCUAUACUACAACUAUGCAGGUAGAGGGCUCCCUUGGUCUGUUAAUGUGGCCACUUUUCUCAAGGGACAUUUACAGGUAAAUCUCAGUUAGGACUUGGUAAAUUUACCACAACAAAUGUAUCUCCUCCUUCACAGAGAUUUUGCUAUUUUAUAGGGGAAAUGUAUGCUUUCAUUAGAAAAAAAUAAAACCCACGCAUCUCAUUUGAACCAUGUGUUCCUCAUUUAAAAUAAUUCAAGUGAGUUACUGCUGAGAUAGACUACCAGGGUAGGCAGCAUAGAGGUGGUGGGCAGGGGCACCGGACAGGUGCCUGGAGACCUGCGGUCCAGUCUUGCUCUACCCUGGACUGUCUGCGCGUGACCUUGGCAAAACUGCCUUAUGGCCAAUGAGUUCUGCAGCAAAAAUGCUUGAGGUGAAAAUAGUUGCAGCAAAGAUGUCCAUAGCAAAGAUGUUUAUGGACAGAGUACCUGGAACUGAUGCAAGCCAUUGUAAAAAGGGUGCCACAUGAUGCUGCCCAACUCUGUGAAUAUACUAAAAGUCACUUUUAAAAGGGAGAAUUUUAUGGGGUAUAAAUUAAAUCUCAAUAAAGCUAUUGUUUUAAAAGGG